rnacentral:rRNA from 1 species
CCUACGGGCGACAGCAGUGGGGAAUAUUGCACAAUGGGGGAAACCCUGAUGCAGCGACGCCGCGUGAGUGAAGAAGUAAUUCGUUAUGUAAAGCUCUAUCAGCAGGGAAGAAAAUGACGGUACCUGAGUAAGAAGCACCGGCUAACUACGUGCCAGCAGCCGCGGUCAUACGUAGGGGGCAAGCGUUACCCGGAUUUACUGGGGGUAAGGGAAGCGGCGACGGCGGUGAAAGUCUGGAGUGAAAGGCGGGGGCUAAACCCGCGGACUGCUCUGGAAACUGUACGGCUGGAGUGCAGGAGAGGUAAGUGGAAUGCCUGGUGUAGCGGUGAAAUGCGUAGAUAUUAGGAGGAACACCAGUGGCGAAGGCGGCUUACUGGACUGUAACUGACGUUGAGGAUCGAAAGCGUGGGGAGCAAACAGGAUUAGAUACCCGAGUAGUC